rnacentral:vault_RNA from 1 species
GGGCCGGCUUCAGCUCAGCGGCUCCUUCGCGCGUGAUACGCGGUCUCUGAACGCGGUCUGGUCUCAUGUUACCGCCUCGGGCUGCCCAACGUCUGCACCUUCGAGUCCCGCGGGCGCUGCCUGGUCCUUUU